UUUUUUAAGACCCUCUCUUCAUCGGAACAAUAUCAUAGAAAGGAAUAUUGUCUAAUGUUUGAAUGUUUGUGAGCAAUCCACUCCUUAUUUUGAGUUUUCUUCCCCCGUAAGAAACGUUUGUGGAAAAAAGACGACACCAUCUUCGAAUAAGAGAUUUAUUUCCUCGUGACUUCUUGUUUCGUUCAGGCAUCCCGCUGUCGAAGACAAGUAACUCUCAUCAAGCGCAAUGGGCAUGAAGAUCAACUUCAAAGCUGUUGGACUUUGUGUCGCUAUAGCCUUAUCUUUUGCUCCAAGUGUAUUUGCAGGUCGGUACAUCAUCGGAAAAGAAGAAGAUGAGACGUUGUUGAGUCUGAGCAUUGCAUUUCUGGUGAUCUGUAGCGUGUUUCUGCUGGUCAGCAUUGUGGCAGCCUUAAUGAUGUUUAGACGCACACGUGUAUCCUGAGGGGACGAGAGGACGAGGGCGAGGGGACUGAAUACUAAAGACUAAAUGAAAGAAGGAAACAGAGAGCUCCGAUAACACACCACAAGAUGCUUAAACCUUUUCCAAAUGGUGUUAUCUCUUUUAAAUCACCAUCCAUACAAUUUGGAAGUUAAUGCUAAGCUGAUCGUCCCAAACUAUACACGACUAUUUACCCCGAAAAACACCAAUGGAAACUUCAUAACUACUGGUAAAAUUUUUCUCACUGUACUAUUAUACUUAAAAUCAUUUUCUGGACGUGUUACUCCACAUUUUUGUUGUUGUAAAAAUGGAAUUUCUCGCAGCAGAAUAAAAUGGGUUCCGCAAAAAUCCCUACUGAACUUACAACCUUUCUGCCUCUUGCUAAAUAAAUUUUUGCUGUUCCUUGUCUAUGAAUGAGGUAGAGUUAUCUAUUUAGUGACAAAUUUAUUUAGCAUCAUUGCAUAUCCCAGAGGAGAGGUUUCAUCCAACCUCCCUCCUUCCCCUGUACCCUGCACGAUGGGGUUAUGGGUUUACCUGUAGGUCCUAAGGUUAAGCUAUCAGUUAGCCAGAAACGUGUGUUACAAGCCUUUUUAUCGAGAACCUGA
rnacentral:misc_RNA from 1 species